rnacentral:rRNA from 1 species
GAUUUCUGGUUCGGCGCACUUGGCCCGUCUCGGUUUACGGGAUUGCGUGCCGGUGUGCGCCAUCCAUCCUUCGGGAAAUACACAGCUACCCUUCACUGGGCCGGUUGUGCUAUCCCGAUCUUUUACUUUGAAAAAAUUAGAGUGUUUAAAGCAGGCUUGCGCUAUGAAUACAUUAGCAUGGAAUAAUAAUCUAGGACUUUCGGUUCUAUUUUGUUGGUGUUCUGGAGCUGAAGUAAUGAUUGAUAGGGAUAGUUGGGGGUGCUAGUAUUCAAUGGCCAGAGGUGAAAUUCUCGGAUUCCUUGAAGACUAACUUAUGCGAAAGCAUU